GACUCUGCACCUGAUAAAAUGACAUUACUAAAGCAAACAACUUUACUUUCCUCUUGUAAAUCAUAUUUGGUUCUCUCUUGACUUGCUUCCAAAUUUCUUUCAUCCCCUAGUGAAUGAUUCCAAACAAUAGUUUCCUCACCGACAUGCAUACUGUACUGCUGCAACAAAAAUGAAACUAGAAACUAUAAUUAGAUUUUUAGGUUUUUUUGGCUUAGGCUAGUUUGACUUAGGUUUCAGUUACAUGCAGCCAAAAGUCCUGACAAAUAUAAGAGGCAGCAAAUAUAUUUGGGCAAAUCAGAAAAGUAAGAAAACUUAAUACAUGGGCUGUAUGGAGAAGAAAGAAGAACAAGACAGUAAGAAGCAGUAUGUUCCCAAAAAACACUGAAGAUAGAAGUAAAGAUUUCCUUUCCUUUUUCUGCUGUUGUUCCCAGAGGAAGACAAAUCCCGUCGUCUACGCUAUGUUGAACAGAAGUGGUAAGAGUGGGCAUCCUUGUCUUGUUCCAGAUUUUAGUGGACAGACCGCAUUUCCCAGCCUCUGCUGGAGGUGGUGAGGUCAUGUGACCAUGUUCUAACCAGCAGCCUGUGAAAAUGAUGUGCUGCUCUAGGCGGGGCCGCCGAAAUCUCUGUGCUUUCCCCUUCUGACGGAUGUCGAUGAGCUGGGUGACCCUUGGAAGUCACAGGUUGAAGACGGAAUCGUGGUCCCUGGGCCACAACUUGGAGAAAAGCCAGGUAGCAUCAUAGAACUUAUUCUGUGGCAUGAGUUCCUCAGCAGUUUAUCUCAGAAGGCUACAACAUGGACACUUUUGGACAGUUCAGGCCAGUGACUUGGUAAAAAUUUCUUCAAUCUGUUUUGUAUGGUAUUUACUGAUGAAUACAUUCAGAAGGUAUACCUUUGGUGAGACUAUCACAGAAAUGCAUUUUCUCUUUGAAUCUUAUCAAGUGGCCCACUUGAUUUGUCCCAUUGCAGUGAUGGUCCUUUAAUCAUUGGUGGUGCCAGGCUUCCUCACAAUAAAUUUAUUUUUCCCUUUUGUAAUUAGCUACCAGUCCGUCCUAAAACAUGUUCCUGAUAAAUACGCUAUAAUGAUGUUUUCAGUGACAUCUUCUGCUGUCUUACAUACUGCCUUUUUAUCAACUCAGGUACGUGAAUAUGUCUUAUACGUCACCUCAGAUUUUCUGUCUCGCCUGUCUCCCAGGCCCUGCCUCUCAGUGACUGGCUACUCCAUGGGGUCCCAGGUUCCUCCGCCUGAGGCUCUCCCACCAUACUAAGCUGCAAGGCCUGGGAGCCCAUGUCCCCAGCUUCACCCAGAGUGAGAAGAGUUAAUUCCCUUUGGGGUCAGGAGAUAAGGCAAAACCAGCAGAUAAACUCCCUCUUCAUGCCUCCCUCUGACUAUAUAAUAUUUCGAUGACACCCGUCCAGAGGCAUCCUGCAUGGCCGAGCAACUGGCUGUUUCUGUGAAGGAGCAGUGGACAGCCUGAUAGUGUAAAACCUGGCAUUUGCUUCUCAUCCCUCCCUGUCUCACCUUUUUGCUUCACUCUUAAUGCCUUGGGAUGGUGCCUGCCCGUAGGGCAUUCACACUUAAAGUUUGCCGCAUCACCCGUUUCACAGGGAUCCUGGGCUGGACCCUAUGGAGGAAUUUCUCUCUGAUCAGAGUAAUGGUAACACCUGUGCUUUUCCUGAAUGGUUUAUAUACCGUGUAAGCAGUCAGAUUUCUCUCUGUGUUGGGACUCUAUACACCUGUGUAGCCCAUCUGUAACACCAGGGCAUAAAGCGAUAUGGUGUGGAUGCCUGAAUUCUGAUCUUACGUCUCGUUCUUCUACUUCCCCUUUAUCCGUCAUUACUUCUUUAUUUCUUUUCGUGCUUUUUUAAAAGUCAGUCCCUUCAAAUCACUUGUAGAAUAAAGCAGAAAAUAAAAAAUGUAGCUUAACAUAAUGAGAAAUGCACUCAAAUGAAAGACAGAGGGCAUUCUGGGUCUGUCUCUAAUUCAUGGUAUGACCAUGCUGUCAUCAUCUACAAAAUUAGAGGUUUAGUCUGGGUAUCUCUAGGGUUCUGUCCUAAGUUAAAAAUCUAACGAUUCAUCAAUGCCAACUUAAGAACUGGAGUACACUUGGCUCAUAAUUGCAAUACCAGGUAUCCUAUGAGGUAUGAGUCUCUCUCUAAAAUGGCAGAAAGAAUGUGAGUUCAAACCACCAGAGAGACUUGGAUUCUAACUUAGGUUUAGUGGCUGUAUGAUUGAGGAAGUUAAGAGAUUUUGUCUUGGGAGUUCCCGUUGUGGCUCAGCAGGCAACAGGUUAUG